UACAGAGGUCUCAAGCGUUGUUCGGAUUCAUUGGGCGUAAAAGGCGCGUAGGCGGUCACGCACGUCCGUUGUGAAAUCGCUCGGCUCAACUGGGCGGGGUCAGCGGAUACGGUGUGGCUGGAGCAAGCUAGGGGGCAAUGGAAUUCCCGGUGUAGUGGUGGAAUGCGUAGAUAUCGGGAGGAACACCAGUGGCGAAGGCGGUUGCCUGGAGCUUUGCUGACGCUGAUGCGCGAAAGCGUGGGGAGCGAUCCGG
rnacentral:rRNA from 1 species